rnacentral:rRNA from 1 species
UACGUAGGGUGCAAGCGUUGUCCGGAAUUAUUGGGCGUAAAGAGCUCGUAGGCGGUCUGUUGCGUCGGCUGUGAAAACCCGGGGCUCAACUCCGGGCCUGCAGCCGAUACGGGCAGACUAGAGUUCGGCAGGGGAGACUGGAAUUCCUGGUGUAGCGGUGAAAUGCGCAGAUAUCGGGAGGAACACCAAUGGCGAAGGCAGCUCGCUGGGACGGUACUGACGCUGAGACGCGAAAAGCGUGGGGAGCAAACAGGG